rnacentral:rRNA from 1 species
AACGAACGCUGGCGGCAUGCCUAACACAUGCAAGUCGAACGAAGCCUUCGGGCCUAGUGGCGCACGGGUGCGUAACGCGUGGGAAUCUGCCCUUUGGUUCGGAAUAACAGUUGGAAACGACUGCUAAUACCGGAUGAUGACGAAAGUCCAAAGAUUUAUCGCCAGAGGAUGAGCCCGCGUAGGAUUAGCUAGUUGGUGUGGUAAAGGCGCACCGAGGCGACGAUCCUUAGCUGGUCUGAGAGGAUGAUCAGCCACACUGGGACUGAGACACGGCCCAGACUCCUACGGGAGGCAGCAGUGGGGAAUAUUGGACAAUGGGCGAAAGCCUGAUCCAGCAAUGCCGCGUGAGUGAUGAAGGCCCUAGGGUUGUAAAGCUCCUUUACCCGGGAUGAUAAUGACAGUACCGGGAGAAUAAGCCCCGGCUAACUCCGUGCCAGCAGCCGCGGUAA